rnacentral:tRNA from 1 species
GUCCCCAUCGUCUAGAGGCCUAGGACACCGCCCUUUCACGGCGAUAACGGGGGUUCGAAUCCCCCUGGGGACGCCA